rnacentral:lncRNA from 1 species
GGGUAUUUUGGGGAGAAAUUGAGAAUUUUAGGGUAAAAUUGAGAAUUUUGGGGUGAGAACUGAGAAUUUUGAGGCAGAAUUGAGAAUUUUGGGGUGGGAGUUCAGGAUUUUGGGGAGAAAUUGAGAAUUUUGGAGAGAAAUUGAGUAUUUUGGGGCGCAAUUGAGAAUUUUAGGGUAAAAUUGAGAAUUUUGGGGCAGGAAUUGAGGAUUUUGAGUGGAAAUUGAGAAUUUUGGGGCAGAAAUCGAGAUAUUUGGGACAAAAUUUCAAAUUUUAUGGCGGAAAUUUCGAAUUUUCGGGCGGGAAUUCCCAAUUUGAGAGCCACAAAUGUCAAAUUUAUGCCCCAAAAACGACCCAAAAAAACCCCGAAAUUGGGUAAAUUGGGGCCGGGCUGGAAUUGGGGUGAAACCCCCCGAUUUUGGGUCCCCCAGCCCAUUUUUCCUGCCAGGCCCGGCCGUGCCAUGGAGGAGGAGGAGGAGAAACCCCCGCGGGGGGGGCAGGAGCCGCGAGAGCAGCGGGAGGGACCCGGCCAGGGGCUACUGAAAGCUCUGCAGCGCCUCCUGAGCGGCGCCGGCACCUGGGGACAAGACCCCCCCCACAAGCCCCCCCGGCUGCAGCGCUGGUGCUGGGGAGCCCGGCCCGAGGGUGGCACGGUGAGUCCCAGUAUGGACCAGUAUAAACCAGUAUGGACCAGUAUGGACUGGUACAGACAGUAUAAACCAGUAUGGACCAGUACGGACCAGUAA